CAGUCGCCGCGGGAAUACAGAGGGUGCAAGCGUUAAUCGGAAUUACUGGGCGUAAAGCGCGCGUAGGUGGUUUGUUAAGUUGGAUGUGAAAGCCCCGGGCUCAACCUGGGAACUGCAUCCAAAACUGGCAAGCUAGAGUACGGUAGAGGGUGGUGGAAUUUCCUGUGUAGCGGUGAAAUGCGUAGAUAUAGGAAGGAACACCAGUGGCGAAGGCGACAACCUGGACUGAUACUGACACUGAGGUGCGAAAGCGUGGGGAGCAAACAGGAUUAGAUACCCGGGUAGUCCCUGUCUCUUAUAC
rnacentral:rRNA from 1 species